rnacentral:rRNA from 1 species
CCCAUAGAUGUUCUGGGCUGCACGCGUGCUACAAUGGCGUUUCCAGCAAGUCUGCGAACCCGAGAGGGCCAGCGGAUCUUCGAAUUGGCGUCGUGAUCGGGACAGUCGAUUGCAAUUAUUUGACUCAAACGAGGAAUUCCUUGUAAUCGCGAUUCAUCAUAUCGCGCUGAAUACGUCCCUGCCCUUUGUACACACCGCCCGUCGCUCCUACCGAUUGAGCGAUCCGGUAAAUGUUUUGGAUUGGUGCCGGGGCGGCUAGCUGCCGGUCGCUACGAAAUUUUGUGAACCUUAUCGCUUAGAGGAAGGAAAAGUCGUAACA